CUGCCGAGCCCUGGGGGGCAUCUGAGCCGGCAGUGGCUCCAAGCUCACGGCACAUCACUGAGACACAGGGCUGUCGAGGACCUGGAUGGAGAAGGUGUCGCUUCCAGUCCCUUGCUCUGGGCCCCACGGGCUGGGGACCGCCAGCGGCCGCUGCCCUUCCCACCGUCUCCCCGGGAGCUUGCGGAAGCCCAUGAGGCCGGCACUGCGACGGUGCCCGUCCUGUGGAGCAAAGAGCAGGCUUGGAGAGAAGGGCCCCCAGUCUUCCAGAAGGCUCUGACAGCUGUGAGCAGAGCUCCACCCACUUCUCUGCAAGCAGCCCCUGCGUGUCCAAUCCCGUCUGCAGCGCUGGACUGGCCAGGCUCACAAUGCCUGCAAGACGGCAGAGCCCUCCCACCCAGCUGGGCCACCAGCCCCAACCCCUGCCAGCCCAGUGACCCAGAGCGGCCGGUGGCAGGAGGGGGCUGCUGAGGCUCUGAUGGCAGAGGAACAGGGCUGGAGGCUCCCGCAGCGCGCAGCCCCCGCCCAGAAGGCCCUCGCAGGAGGGACCAGCUGGUGAAAUCUCGCUAUAGGUGAUGCUGACCCUGGGCAGCGGCUCUAGAAGGGCUCCGCUGUUGCCUGCUUGGCCCCUCCUCCCUCCGGCCGCUCCACCCUCGGAGCCCCUCUUCCUGGAGCCCCCGGCUCCCCCUCCACUUCAUGGUUUGCAUCAGAGUCGUCCUGUUUCGACACUGAGUCACUUGGCCUUUGCCGCUCAUCAUCACACAGCCACUGACAGAACUGUCCGAUGGCCAUCUACUUACACGCGUGUGGUUAACUGUGCACCUGCUCCGCGUGGGUGUCAGAAGGCCCUUGCACGGAGGAGGAAACUGAGGCUUUCAGCGGUCGUGAGACUCACUGUGGGGCCCACCCACUGCCCAGACUGGACGCCCACAUCCCACGGGUCCUCAAUCCCUUCUGCUAAUUCCUCCCAAACCCCUCUCCCCAUCACCACUGGUGUCCUGUCUGUGCCACCUCUCAGGGGCCGCUCUGCCCUUAACCCAUUCUCCGCACAGCAGCCUGAGGGAUUGUCUUAAGAAACAAAUCCGAUCCGGGGAGCCUGGGUGGUUCAGUCGGUUAAGCAUCUGACCCUCAGUUUUGGCUCAGGUCAUGAUCUCACGGUUCCUGAGAUUGAGACCCACGUCGG